CCUACGGGGGGCAGCAGUGGGGAAUAUUGCACAAUGGGGGGAACCCUGAUGCAGCGACGCCGCGUGAGUGAAGAAGUAUUUCGGUAUGUAAAGCUCUAUCAGCAGGGAAGAAAAUGACGGUACCUGACUCAGAAGCCGCGGCUAAAUACGUGCCAGCAGCCGCGGUAAGAUGUAGGGGGCAAGCGUUAUCCGGAUUUACGGGGUGUAAAGGGAGCGUAGACGGCAGAGCAAGUCGGAAGUGAAAGCCCGCGGCCCAACUGCGGGACUGCUUUGGAAACUGCCCGGCUAGAGUGCUGGAGAGGUAGGCGGAAUGCGUGGUGUAGCGGUGAAAUGCAUAGAUAUUACGAAGAACACCAGUGGCGAAGGCGGCUUACUGGACAGUGACUGACGUUGAGGCUCGAAAGCGUGGGUAGCAAACAGGAUUAGAUACCCGAGUAGUC
rnacentral:rRNA from 1 species